GACGAACGCUGGCGGCGUGCCUAAUACAUGCAAGUUGAGCGCUGAAGGUUGGUACUUGUACCAACUGGAUGAGCAGCGAACGGGUGAGUAACGCGUGGGGAAUCUGCCUUUGAGCGGGGGACAACAUUUGGAAACGACUGCUAAUACCGCAUAAAAACUUUAACCACAAGUUUUAAGUUUGAAAGAUGCAAUUGCAUCACUCAAAGAUGAACCCGCGUUGUAUUAGCUAGUUGGUGAGGUAAAGGCCCACCAAGGCGAUGAUACAUAGCCGACCUGAGAGGGUGAUCGGCCAAAUUGGGACUGAGACACGGCCCAAACUCCCACGGGAGGCAGCAGGAGGGAAAUAUCGGAAAUGGACGAAAGGCUGACCGAGCAACGACGCGUGAGUGAAGAAGGUUUUCGGAUCGGAAAACUCUGUUGGUAGAGAAGAAAGUUGGUGAGAGUGGAAAGCUCAUCAAGUGACGGUAACUACACAGAAAGGGACGGCUAACUACGUG
rnacentral:rRNA from 1 species